rnacentral:lncRNA from 1 species
AUGUUCAAUAUGGGGGGGGGGGGGCCUUCACGGCUUAUUUUCUUGCUCUCCUACGGGAAACUCGCACCCAGCGUGAAAAACUGUCCCUUCACGGCUUAUCUUCUGGCCAUCCUCCGCCUCGCAGCCGCCCUGCGCAGCUGGGGGGGGGGAAAAGCCACUUGUCAGGAGGCCGCAGCGGGCGGUCGCACGGGCCAGCACCUGCCUCCUGCGCGCGCCGCCUCCCUCCACCCGGAGCAGCACGGCCUGCUGUGCUAUAAUAAUAACAAUAACAAUAAUAAUAAUAAUACCAGGGCAGCCCUGAGACACCGAGGCCUUGUAGCCGGCACCACCUCCGCUUUGACGCGCAGGAUGAGGCAGCCACGAUGCCACCAGACGUGCUUUGUCACCAGAACGUCCGUCUCCUUAGGCGUCAACUGCGCUGAUCGGGAACCCAGCGGCCUCGCGGGCAGAGCGCGGCUCCUGGGGCUCCAGCACGCCAGGCGGCGAGGGACAGGCCACCUCCCCUCUGUCCUCGCCUUCUCUGUGUGGUAAAACGCACAUAACGGUGCUCAAGUCCCUUUUCAGGAGGCCUGUUAAUGUGACGCACUGUAAAACAGCUAGACGUAUUAUUUCUAGAAAAACUGCUCUAAAAUUUUAAUUGUUUAGUUGAAAAUCUAAGUACCUGUUUCAUCUGUUGAUCACUUACAAGGGACAGAAAUGUCCUUAAGUAGAUUAAGGGGGGGGRRAAAAAAAGAGAGAAAAAAAGUGGCUAUUGUAGUUAUUUUCGUACCAAUUUUGUAUAGGCCAAGCAUUACUGUUUUAGAAUAAAUAAAAUCAAAUGUCAUUUAGGCA